AGCUAUUGCAGCCAUCCCCAAAAGAGGCAUCAGCUUUCUGUUACUCGAGAUGGCAAAUGUGGUACUGAUUUGAGGAGAUUAUAUUGGUGCUGAGCCAAUUUGUCAUGCACAAUACACUAUACAACUUAAAACAAGACCAGCUGAUGCAGGUUUGUAUAGAUGUUUGUUCUUUCCUAGUGAGUAGUAUAUUGGUUAUUGUUCGGCAUCUACACUAAUCCAUCCGGUGUGCUGGUUGAAUUACUUGCAUUACAUGUAUUUUCAUAUCCAAAUUGAUGCAAGAAUGCCAAAGCAAGGGCUUCUUAAUCUACCUGUCAAGAAUCUGAAUUCCAAGUCACAGCUCACCUGUUGUCAUCAUCAGGCAAUUGCAGCCAUCCUCAGAAGGAUGUUAAUAAGAGUCACCUUUCUCUUACCCGAGAUGACAGAUCUGGAACUAGUCUGAGGAUAUCUACUGUGCUGCUGAGCCAACUCGUAAUGAACCAAAAGCUAUACAAUAUAAUGUGGGAACAGGCUCUUCAACAAGUUCCAAUUCUACAAGUUUUGAUUCCAGCUUCUGAAUCCAAGAACUUAUGUUGGUGCAUGAAGCGACAUGAGCAGCUAAUAUUUUCUCAAGCAUGCAUUCUUUCAGGAACAUAGUUUGUUUCACUUGGUCACGCGAACAUCCGGGGAGCUGAUAUUAUUACCUGCGUCUUGAAGUUCAUCCAAAAUGGCUAAAAGGGAAAAGAUGUUGAGGUCUCAUUCAAGGACACUAAGUUUGGCGUGUAAGGGCGCAAAGAUAUUUUUCACUAGUUGUCAAGACAACUUGCUGGACUAUCCGAUUUUCCUCAUGCUAUACAUUUACUAAAACCCUCUGCAUCUGCUUCUGCUGUGACGGUAGAUGUUCGUAAAGCUGCUGAAGCAUGCUUUAGUUAAUAUUCAGGGUUUGAGGACACGAAAUGGCAUGUGACACAAGUUUUGAAAAAUGUACAAGGUUCUUUAGCUAUUGAUGUCGAACAACUGUAAUCGUAUAGGGUUUUCAAGAAAAUAUCGAUUCGGGUAGAUUGAUUUUAGCAACCAUAACAUCCAAAACCAGUUCAAAGGUUGGAAAAUCUAAUGCUUAUAGUGAUCGUGCACUUCCAUCAUGGAAAGGAACAUAGUUGCAUCUUCACUCUUACCAAAGGACCAACACAAGAUUGAUCGUGCGUGUUCACGACAUCAACAUUUCAGUCACACGCUUUGCUGAAUGUGAAUGACUCGAACAAGGUAAGAUAAAUUUGGCAGUUGACAUACAAGGUAUGACUUUUUGGUUAUGCUUGAUGUAUUUUUUUUUUUUUUUGGUUACUUUUGUCUGAUUGAUGUCUUCUGAUUAUUGUUGUCUUUUGAUUGUGGGUUUUUUGUGAUUAGUCUGUGGGGUUUUUUUUAGAAUUAUUUAUAUGUUUGCGUUUUUUGUGUUCUGAUUGUUUUUGUGAUGUUGGGUUGUGUUGGUUUGUUUUGUUUGUGUAAUUUAUUUUGGGUUUUGGUGCAAUUUGUCUUAAUUGUUCGAACUUGUUUCUUCGAUUGAUCUUUUAUUUCAAAUUAGUUUGUGAUUGUGAGAUGUUGUUUGUGAUUCUGAAUUGUUUUUUGUCGGUUAUGAUUCUUGAAUUUCUAGUUUCUUGGAAUUUGUUUUAAUUUUAUCUUGUAAUUAGUUUUGUGAUUGUGGGCUUGGGUGCAACUGGUGUGAUAUUUGAAUUAGUUUCUUGGACCAUUCUUUGUAGUUGUGAUUAUUCAUUUUUUUGGGUGAAUUUGGUCUGAUUGAUGUUCCUUUAUUUGGUUAGUUUUCUCGGUGUUUGAUUCUUUUGAUACUCUAAUGGAAUAUCAGUAAGUCGUGUGAUUGUGGGUUUCUUUUUUAUUGAUUGUUGUGUGAUUUGUGAAAUUUUAUUCUGGUUGUUUAUGUGAUUGUACUGUUUGUAGUGUAAUUUGACUGUGAUUGUUGUUUGUUUUGUGAUUGAUUGUGAUUCACGGUUUUUUUUUAUGAUUGUGGUGUGAUUUCUAGAUUUGUUUUGUUUAUGUGACUUUGUAUUUUGAUUGUUUGAUCGUUUUUGUUUGUGGGCUUGUGAAGUUGAAUUGUUGUGGAUUUUGGUGCAAUUUGACUUGAUUGUUUGAACUUGUUUAUUCGAUUAGACCUUUGUCUUCUGAAUAGUUUAUGUGGUUGUUUGUAUUCUUUUUGUGAUUGUGGUUUGUCUUGUGAUUCUUUUUCUGAUUGUGGUUUGUGUUCUAAUUCUUUUUGUGAUUGCAAGUUUGUCUUAUGAAUUUUCGUGAAUGUUGGUAUUUUUCUGAUUGAUUGUUAUGUGAUUUGUGGAAUUUUAUUCUGAUUGUUUAUGAGAUUGUAUCGUUCGUAGUGCAAUUUGACGUCUCAUUUUUAUUUGUCUUGUGAUUGACCACAGUGAUUCACAGUUUUUAUGACUGUUGUGUGAUUUCUGGAUUUGUAUUGUUUAUGUGACUGUUUGUAUUUUGAUUGUUUGAUCGUUUUUGUUUGUGGGCUUGUGAAGUUACUUGAAUUUUUGUGGGUUUUGGUGCAAUUUGACUUAAUUGUUUGAACUUGUCUCUUGGAUUAGGCCUUUUGUCAUCUGAAUAGUUUAUGUGAUUAUCGGUUGUUUGUAUUUUUUAUAUGAUUGUGGUUUGUCUUGUGAUUCUUUUUGUGUUCUAAUUCUUUUUGUGAUCGCGAGUUUGUCUUAUGAAUUUUCGUGAAUGUGGGUAUUUUUCUAAUUGAUUGUUAUGUGAUUUGUGGGUUUUUUUUUCUGAUUGUUUAUGAGAUUGUGUCGUUCAUAGUGUAAUUUGACGUGUGAUUGUUGUUUGUCUUGUGAUUGAUGUGAUUCACAGUUUUUAUAUGACUGUUGUGUAAUUUUUGCAUUUGUAUUGUUUAUGUGACUAUUUGUAGUUUUGAUUGUUUGAUCGUUUUUGUUUGUGGGCUUGUGAAGUUACUUGAAUUGUUGUAGGUUUUGGUGCAAUUUUUGACUUAAUUGUUUAUUCUUGUCUCUUGGAUUUGUCUUCUGAAUAUUUUAUGUGAUUAUGGGUUAUUUGUAUUCUUCUUGUGAUUGUGGUUUAUGUUUAAAUUCUUUUUGUGAUCGCGAGUUUGUCUUAUGAAUUUUCGUGAAUGUGGGUACUUUUUUGAUUGAUUGUUAUGUGAUUUGUGGGAUUUUAUUCUAAUUGUUUAUGAGAUUGUGUUGUUUGUGGUCUCAUUGGGUUUUGGUGCAAUUUGUUUUAAUUGUUCGAACUUGUUUCUUGGAUUCAUCUUUUAUUUCAAAUUAGUUUGUGAUUGAGAGAUGUUGUUUGUGAUUCUGGAUUGUUUUUUGUCGGUUAUGAUUCUUGAAUUUCUAGUUUCUUGGAAUUUGUUUGUUUUGUAAUUAGUUUUGUGAUUGUGGGCUUGGGUGCAACUGGUGUGAUAUUUGAAUUAGUUUUUUGGACCAUUCUUUGUGGUUGUGAUUAUUCAUUUUUUUGGGUGAAUUUGGUCUGAUUGAUGUUCCUUUAUUUGGUUAGUUUUCUCAGUGUUUGAUUCUUUUGAUACUCUAAUGGAAUAUCAGUAAUUCGUCGUGUGAUUGUUGGUUUCUUUUUUAUUGAUUGUGUGAUUUGUGAAAUUUUAUUCUGGUUGUUUAUGUGAUUGUACUGUUUGUAGUGUAAUUUGACUGUGAUUGUUGUUUGUUUUGUGAUUGAUUGUGAUUCACGGUUUUUUUUUAUGAUUGUUGUGUGAUUUUUAGAUUUGUUUUGUUUAUGUGACUGUUUGUAUUUUGAUUGUUUGAUCGUUUUUGUUUGUGAGCUUGUGAAGUUGAAUUGUUGUGGAUUUUGGUGCAAUUCGACUUGAUUGUUUGAACUUGUUUAUUGGAUUAGACCUUUUGUCUUUUGAAUAGUUUAUGUGGUUGUUUGUAUUCUUUUUGUGAUUAUGGUUUGUCUUGUGAUUCUUUUUCUGAUUGUGGUUUGUGUUCCAAUUCUUUUUGUGAUCGCAAGUUUGUCUUAUAAAUUUUUGUGAAUGUUGGUAUUUUUUUGAUUGAUUGUUAUGUGAUUUGUGAGAUUUUAUUCUGAUUGUUUAUGUAGAACUUUCUCCCACAUAGUUCUGAAAUCUGCUUGUCAAUUAGAGCUUAGACCAUUCGACAUGCCCUAUGUCAGUGAGCCCGGGAUUAUGCGAGUAUCUUCUCUAUACCCACGUAGAAUGUAUUUUAAAAUUCGAUUAAUGGCCAACUUUCCCAAAAGAAAUUUUCAAUUGACGGACACGAGUUUUCUGCCUGAACUUAUAUGUCAUUUAUUUCAUCAAUUUAUGAUUCAUGAGUGGUAUUACAAUUUUGAUUCAAAUUAUUAACUAAUGCUUGGUAGCAUAUUUUGUUUGACUUAUUUAUGUUGAAAAUAUUUUUGGAAAAGGAUUAUAAAGAAAGUAAUUUAGAUUUGAAAAUUUUACUCAAUCAUUUUUUCAAUACUAAUUAAUGAAUUUAACUUUUAAUAUUGGGAUUUCAAUAUAAUCAAUUAAAAUAUUAGAGGAAAUUAAAAUUAUUAAUUUACAACUCUAUUAUCUGCAUUACCUAUUAAAGAUACUUAAUUAUGUGACUGUCCAGAAAAAUUAAAUUAUGCUAAUUGUCUAUUCAAAAGAGUAUUAGCGAUCAACAAAAAAAAAAUAUAAAUUUGAAGUUGACUUCUUCACCUAAUAUUAUGUUAAACAAAAGAAUUAUGUAAUUAGGCUUUAAUAUUUAGUUAGGAGAAAUCGUGAUCAAACACGUGAUAGCGUAAACUUACCAGUCUUCUCCAUUAUUAUAUAUUUUUGUAGCAUACAAUUUCAUAUAUAAUAUCAAGGGUAUACGAUCCACAGACUAAUUACAAUGUCAAUACUUUUAAUUGCAAUAAAAACAUUGCAUUAUAUAUGAAAAAUUGUGCAUUAUAGAAGUUUCAAGAACCAUACCUACUUUACCAAUAAAAUAGAUAAAUGCACAUAAAAAAAUUGAAGGAUGGUCAAAUACAUGUCGAAAAUAAGAAAAGAUCGACUAAUCUCACUGUAUUCUACGUAAUGAAUAGCUCAUAAUUCGAUUUGGUGAGUUUGGUUAAAUUAAAAAAAACAUUAUUACCACAUUCAUUUAAUUUUUAGUUUGAAAAAAAAUAAGAAAAAAAGUGAUUGUUCAGUUAGGGCCAGCCAUCUAGCUUUGGUGAGCCAAUGGAGCACCGACACGUUAUCCUUCCACUACAAAGAGCGGGAGGUUUUCGCUGCUCUGUGAAGCCA